rnacentral:rRNA from 1 species
UACGUAGGGCGCAAGCGUUGUCCGGAAUUAUUGGGCGUAAAGAGCUCGUAGGUGGCUUGUCGCGUCCGCUGUGAAAGCCCGGGGCUUAACCCCGGGUCGGCAGUGGAUACGGGCAGGCUAGAGGUAGGUAGGGGAGAAUGGAAUUCCCGGUGUAGCGGUGAAAUGCGCAGAUAUCGGGAGGAACACCGGUGGCGAAGGCGGUUCUCUGGGCCUUACCUGACGCUGAGGAGCGAAAGCGUGGGGAGCGAACAGG